rnacentral:rRNA from 1 species
UACAGAGGUGGCAAGCGUUGUUCGGAAUUACUGGGCGUAAAGGGCGCGUAGGCGGUCUUCUAAGUCUUGUGUGAUAUCCCUCGGCUUAACUGAGGAACUGCACGGGAUACUGGAAGACUUGAGUUCGGGAGAGGGAAGCGGAAUUCCGGGUGUAGCGGUGAAAUGCGUAGAUAUCCGGAGGAACACCGGUGGCGAAGGCGGCUUCCUGGACCGAUUACUGACGCUGAGGCGCGAAAGCUAGGGGAGCAAACGGG